rnacentral:rRNA from 1 species
CAAGCGUUGUCCGGAUUUAUUGGGCGUAAAGAGCUCGUAGGUGGUUCGGUAAGUCGGAUGUGAAAUCUCCAGGCUCAACCUGGAGGGGUCAUUCGAUACUGCCGUGACUAGAGGUCGGUAGGGGAGUGUGGAAUUCCUGGUGGAGCGGUGAAAUGCGCAGAUAUCAGGAGGAACACCCGUAGCGAAGGCGGCACUCUGGGCCGAUACUGACACUGAGGAGCGAAAGCGUGGGGAGCGAACAGG